rnacentral:tRNA from 1 species
GCCCACGUAACUCAGUUGGAAGAGCAUUGGGCUAGUAUUCCAAAGGUCGUAGGUUCGAAUCCCACCGUGGCCG